rnacentral:rRNA from 1 species
CCCUUUUGAGCGGGAGUAAAUUUGGAAACGGUGUUAAACCCGUUAAACAUGCCAACCGCAUGUUUUUUUAAAAGAGGUUUGGCUACCAUUAAGGAAGGUCCCGGGGGCCUUAGCUAGUGGUAAGGUAAUGCUUACCAAGGCGAUGAUGCAUAGCCGAGUUGAGAGACUGAUCGGCCACAAUGGGAAUGAGACACGGCCCAUAUUCCUACGGGAGGCAGCAGUAGGGAAUCUUCCACAAUGGGGGAAAGCCUGAUGGAGCAACGCCGCGUGUGUGAUGAAGGGUUUCGGCUCGUAAAACACUGUUGUAAGAGAAGAAUGACAUUGAGAGUAACUGUUCAAUGUGUGACGGUAUCUUACCAGAAAGGAACGGCUAAAUACGUGCCAGCAGCCGCGGUAAUACGUAUGUUCCAAGCGUUAUCCGGAUUUAUUGGGCGUAAAGCGAGCGCAGACGGUUAUUUAAGUCUGAAGUGAAAGCCCUCAGCUCAACUGAGGAAUUGCUUUGGAAACUGGAUGACUUGAGUGCAGUAGAGGAAAGUGGAACUCCAUGUGUAGCGGUGAAAUGCGUAGAUAUAUGGAAGAACACCAGUGGCGAAGGCGGCUUUCUGGACUGUAACUGACGUUGAGGCUCGAAAGUGUGGGUAGCAAACAGGAUUAGAUACCCUGGUAGUCCACACCGUAAACGAUGAGUGCUAGGUGUUUGAGGGUUUCCGCCCUUAAGUGCCGCAGCUAACGCAUUAAGCACUCCGCCUGGGGAGUACGACCGCAAGGUUGAAACUCAAAGGAAUUGACGGGGACCCGCACAAGCGGUGGAGCAUGUGGUUUAAUUCGAAGCAACGCGAAGAACCUUACCAGGUCUUGACAUCCCUUGACAACUCCAGAGAUGGAGCGUUCCCUUCGGGGACAAGGUGACAGGUGGUGCAUGGUUGUCGUCAGCUCGUGUCGUGAGAUGUUGGGUUAAGUCCCGCAACGAGCGCAACCCUUAUUACUAGUUGCCAGCAUUCAGUUGGGCACUCUAGUGAGACUGCCGGUGACAAACCGGAGGAAGGUGGGGAUGACGUCAAAUCAUCAUGCCCCUUAUGACCUGGGCUACACACGUGCUACAAUGGCGUAUACAACGAGUUGCCAACCCGCGAGGGUGAGCUAAUCUCUUAAAGUACGUCUCAGUUCGGAUUGUAGGCUGCAACUCGCCUACAUGAAGUCGGAAUCGCUAGUAAUCGCGGAUCAGCACGCCGCGGUGAAUACGUUCCCGGGUCUUGUACACACCGCCCGUCACACCAUGAGAGUUUGUAACACCCAAAGCCGGUGGGGUAACCUUCGGGAGCCAGCCGUCUAAGGUGGGACAGGAUGAUUAAGGGUAAAGUU